GAUCAGGAGACUGAAGCCUGGACACAUUCAGAAUCCUGUAUCUCACUCAUAACAGCAUGGAUGGUUUUUCUCAAAGUUUAUGUGUGUUUGUGUCCAAAGACACAAAAUAACACCUUAAAUCCCAGAAAAAGGGAUUUUUUUCAUAAUAUGGGCAC